GUGCUUUCCCAUCAGCACAAAAGCUAAAAAUGGAACAAAGCAGGGGAACUUAACAUGGCCAGUGUGUAAGAAUAACAUGCACAUCUGUAAGGUAUUUUCUGUAGUG
ensembl:snRNA U6 U6 spliceosomal RNA